rnacentral:rRNA from 1 species
UGCCCCCCGGCCCGGGAUAGCCCAGGGAAACCUGGAUUAAUACCGGAUGAGACGGGACCCGCGAGUGGCGGGACCCGGGAAGGCGCUGCGGCGCCGCCGGGGGAUGAGUCUGCGUCCCAUUAGCUAGACGCGGGGUAACGGCCCACCGUGGCGACGAUGGGUAGCCGGCCUGAGAGGGUGGACGGCCACAUUGGAACUGAGACACGGUCCAGACUCCUACGGGAGGCAGCAGCUAAGAAUCUUCCGCAAUGGGCGAAAGCCUGACGGAGCGAACCGCCGCGUGAACGAAGAAGGCCGUGAGGUUGUAAAGUUCUUUUCGGGAGGGGGAACAACCGUGGCAGGGAAUGGCCGCGGGAUGACGUGAAUCCCGGAAUAAGCCCCGGCUAACUACGUGCCAGCCGCCGC